rnacentral:rRNA from 1 species
UACGGAGGGUGCAAGCGUUAUCCGGAUUCACUGGGUUUAAAGGGUGCGUAGGUGGGCAGGUAAGUCCGUGGUGAAAUCUCCAGCUUAACUUGGAAACUGCCGUGGAUACUAUCUGUCUUGAAUACCGUGGAGGUGAGCGGAAUAUGUCAUGUAGCGGUGAAAUGCUUAGAUAUGACAUAGAACACCAAUUGCGAAGGCAGCUCACUACACGCUUAUUGACACUGAGGCACGAAAGCGUGGGGAUCAAACAGG